CCUACGGGUGGCAGCAGUGAGGAAUAUUGGUCAAUGGACGAGAGUCUGAACCAGCCAAGUAGCGUGAAGGAUGACUGCCCUAUGGGUUGUAAACUUCUUUUAUAUGGGAAUAAAAUGUUCCACGUGUGGGAUUUUGUAUGUACAAUAUGAAUAAGGAUCGGCUAACUCCGUGCCAGCAGCCGCGGUAAUACGGAGGAUCCGAGCGUUAUCCGGAUUUAUUGGGUUUAAAGGGAGCGUAGGUGGAUUGUUAAGUCAGUUGUGAAAGUUUGCGGCUCAACCGUAAAAUUGCAGUUGAAACUGGCAGUCUUGAGUACAGUAGAGGUGGGCGGAAUUCGUGGUGUAGCGGUGAAAUGCUUAGAUAACACGAAGAACUCCGAUUGCGAAGGCAGUUCACUGGACUGCAACUGACACUGAGGCUCGAAAGUGUGGGUAUCAAACAGGAUUAGAUACCCGAGUAGUC
rnacentral:rRNA from 1 species